AACCUAGCACACCUGCGGUGUGUACCUGCGGAGGGAUCAUUAUGAAUCAGUAGCUUGCUACUGUGCUGGGGGAGAUGGGAAAGUCCUGGCUGAGAAGCUAGUGUACCGGUACCUGCACCCCUAUCUUACCCUUGUCUUUUGAGUACUUAUGUUUCCUUGGUAGGCUUGCCUGCCAAAAGGACAAACUUGAAACCUUUUUUAAGUAUCAAUCAGCGUCUGAUAAUAAAUUUAAUAUUUACA
rnacentral:misc_RNA from 1 species